rnacentral:lncRNA from 13 species
CUCCGAGUGGAUGGAUUUUAACAUGAACAUCAGUAAGGAGGAAAAGAAUCCUUUUGAAAAACUUUGGUGUCUGCAAGGCAGUCCUAAAGAAAGCCAGAAAGCCAAGUGACUUAUACAAAGACGAGAUCUACCUGAACUCACAACCCUAAAAAAAAUGGGUCUACAUGCACCUGCUAUCACUCAAGAAGGAAGUCUGCCAGAAGGAAAUGACAUUCAACCUGAGAUGGAUGGAGCCAGAGUGGCAGCUAGCUAAUGACCUUGACCUCAGUGAUGUACAAGCUUCAUAGAUGGGCUCUAAAUCCAGUGACAAGUGUCCUUAUAAGAUACAGAAGGAGAGGAUGCAGUGACACUGAGGAGAAGGCCACCAGAACACAGAGGCACAGACUGGAGUGACAUAGUCCCAAGCCAAAGAAUGUCUGGAGCCAUGGGAAGCCAAAUGAGUAUCCUAGAUUUGCUUAAACAGUUAACUACUGCCAAAUAUAGCAGUAGUUGACUCUCUGAAAAAGAAAAACUGAUUGUACUGCCUGCUUGUGAAACAUGGAACAAACCAAUGCUGAUGGAUGCCCAAACAACAUGGAGGCCCUGUCUAGACUGAGCCAUGUGAGUCGGGAUGGGGCCACUGGAGAAUCAGUACUGUGGACAGUUGAAGUUUGAAUCUGCCAAACUUGGCAAUGGAGCUAAACUGCAACCUUUAUACAAAGCCUAGGACAAAGAAAAUCAUUUGUACUGAAAUGUACAAAUAAUGUAAGCUGUAAGGUAAUAAGAAAAUUCUUAUUAUCCUUUGAAUGUCACUUCUACAUAAGAAAGUAGCAUUGUUCAUUCAGAAACGUGGGGCUUUAUGAAUCGCCCAGGCCUUCUUCAUCUUUUCUAGUUCUAUUUGGGUCUUUAGAAGAGAAUAUUGGGUAUUGAUAUGGUUGGGCUGUGUCCCUACCCAAACCUCAUCUUAAAUGUAACUCCCACAGUUUCCACCUGUCAUAGGAGGAACUUGGUGGGAGGUAAUUGAAUCAUGGGGGCGGGUCUUUCCUGUGCUGUUCUCAUGAUAGUGAAUAAGUCUUAUGAGAUCUGAUGGUUUUAAAAAUGGGAGUUUCCCUGCACAAGCUCUCUUCUCUUGUCUGCCACCGUGUGAGUCAGGCUUUUCACCUUCCACCAUGAUUGUGAGGCCUCCCCAGCCGUGUG